UACAGAGGUCUCAAGCGUUUGUUCGGAUUCAUUGGGCGUAAAGGGUGCGUAGGCGGCGCGGUAAGUCGGGUGUGAAAUCUCGGGGCUUAACUCCGAAACUGCAUUCGAUACUGCCGUGCUUGAGGACUGGAGAGGAGACUGGAAUUUACGGUGUAGCGGUGAAAAUGCGUAGAUAUCGUAAGGAAGACCAGUGGCGAAGGCGGGUCUCUGGACAGUUCCUGACGCUGAGGCACGAAAGGUCAGGGGGAGCAAAACGGG
rnacentral:rRNA from 1 species